GGCCAUCUUCAGAGCAGCCGUGUAAGAUGUCAUCAUAUCCACACUUCAGAGCCAGGAUUCCAGUGAUCUGAGGAACUCCAAAGUCAAAGCCUUCAUCGUGCAAACAGUGAAGAUGGUCAAACGUGCGGGUUAGGGUCUGAAGGUGCAAAGCAAGUCGUGAAGGACAUGCAGGUAUUCAUGCUCAGUACACUCAGCUACUGUGAUGGUGACUUUUAUGUCAUUAUUUCCAUUCAUCUCGGUUACUGACACUUUUUCAGGACGGGGUCCCACUUCUAAAAUUUUGGGGAUUAAAUUAGGUGGUAUUUUUUUCUUGUCUUUGUGCACUAAUAAAGAUCCAUAAAACUUGAACAAAAAUAAAUACAACUUUUAACAGGCAGUGGUGAUGA
rnacentral:lncRNA from 1 species